GCCAGGCUUAGGAGGUGGGAGAAGGCGGACGGUACUCCGAGGGUAGGGGUAAAAUCCCUUGAUCCCCGGAAGACAGCAGUGGCGAAAGGCGGUCCGCCAGAACGCGCUCGACGGUGAGGGAUGAAAGCUGGGGGAGCGAACCGGAUUAGAUACCCGGGUAGUCCCAGCCGUAAACGAUGCGAGCUAGGUGACACGACGCCUUCGGGGCAUCGUGGUGCCGCAGGGAAGCCGUUAAGCUCGCCGCCUGGGGAGUACGGACGCAAGUCUGAAACUUAAAGGAAUUGGCGGGGGAGCACCACAAGGGGUGAAGCCUGCGGUUCAAUUGGAGUCAACGCCGGGAACCUUACCGGGAGCGACAGCAGAUUGAAGGUCAAGCUGAAGACUUUACCAGACGAGCUGAGAGGAGGUGCAUGGCCGUCGCCAGCUCGUGCCGUGAGGCGUCCUGUUAAGUCAGGCAACGAGCGAGACCCCUACUUCUAAUUGCUAUCAGGGGCCGCAAGACCUUUGAGGCUAGUUAGAAGGACUGCCGCCGCUAAGGCGGAGGAAGGAAGGGGCCACGGCAGGUCAGUAUGCCCCGAAACUCCCGGGCCACACGCGGGCUGCAAUGGUAAGGACAAUGGGUCCCAACCUCGAAAGAGUGAGGCAAUCCCCAAACCUUACCCCAGUUGUGACUGAGGGCUGCAACCCGCCCUCACGAAUCUGGAAUCCAUAGUAACCGCGUGUCACCAUCGCGCGGUGAAUACGUCCCUGCUCCUUGCACACACCCCCGUC
rnacentral:rRNA from 1 species